GAUGAACGCUGACAGCAUGCUUAACACAUGCAAGUCGACUGAUGUCGGACGGGAACGUAAGACUUACAGAACUUACCUCUCAGCUAGUGACAACAUUAGGAAACGAAUGCUAAUACCUAAUACUGUGAGAGAGUUUUGGGUCCCAUUAGCUAGUUGGAGAGGUAACGGCUCACCAAGGCGAGGAUGGGUAGCCGGCCUGAGAGGGUGAUCGGCCACAAGGGGACAGGGAAACGGCCAGUACUCAUACGGGAGGAAGCAGUGGGGAAUAUAGGACAAAGGACCAAAGUGUGAUGCAGCAAUUCUGUGUGUACGAUGAAGUUUUAGGAAUGUAAAGUGUGUUCAGUUGGGAAGCGGUACCAACAGAGGAAGCGACGGCUAAAUACGUGCCAGCAGCCGCGGUAAUAC
rnacentral:rRNA from 1 species